GAAGGCUUCAGACGGCCAGCUCUGCAGUCAGCCACCUCCGUGUGGCAUAGACAAAAGCUGUAGAGAAUUCUAAGUGCAUAGAGAAGCAGAAUUAACCUGUAUCGUGAUCAAGCCAUUCACAAGGUGCUGGAAGAUAAACAGUAGGCAUAACACUUGAGUUUAGGCAGGGAGGUUUUCCUCGCAUCAUUCAUGCUGGUUACUGUUUUCUUAUAGGUCUGUGGGUGCUCCUGAGUAACUGUAUCAUGUUUUAUAAUGCUUGGCACUCUGGUUCAGAUACAGAAACAAGCGUGCCUAGUGAUGUGAGCGUGUGCUGAGGCUGUGAAACACAGAAGAGGCAGAGCAGAUGCCUGAGGCACUCCUUGGAAGUGAUGAAAUCCAGUGGCUGUGACUAAGCUUUGUAAACAUGUUCAUGAAAAUUGCUAAUAAAUUCAGGGCUGUGCCACGAGGCAACAGCGAGGUAUGGAAGAUGGCCCUGAGCUGCUAACAGCAGGAGAAAUAUUUCAGAGUCAAUCCCUGAGGUGCUGGGGUGUUGAGCUUUCCUCUAAAGCAUCCAAGUCGCUGACCGCUGGAGCAACAACUGUAGAUGCAGUCCCUAUGAGCAAAUCAACAGAAUUUAAUUCCUGGACUACACCGUCAUGUACCAGAGGUGGUAUGAUGCAAGACCAAUGGUUAGCUAUGCAGAUUGGUUUCCUCUCCUGUAUCCGUAUAUAACUGAGACAACACUAUCACCCUAUGGAACUAUCACUACCUGUGGCAGCACAAGGCACUGUGUCACCGUAGCACUGUUAAAAAGGAUUAAUAUCCUCAAAAAAUCUACUACAAACUGAGAAAGGCAUCUCCCUGAGAAGGUAUCUGUUGUUUUGUCCCUUAAGUCUGCUUGGAUGUUUGGGGUAAACUAGCAGACAACAGAGGGGAAAACACAACCAAAAUCACCACAAAGAACAAUUUGAAAUAUGACAGUAAGGGUGCUGCUUGCUUUCCUAUCCUCUGGCUCCAGCAGGACAUGAGCAGGCAGCACACUACUGAGCUGCGGCGGCGAUGCUGCUCAGAGACCUCCGAACAGCAGAGGCUUUGCUGGGCUUGAAACCGUCUUUUCCAGUGAUGCCUAUAGAGAAAGAUGAUGGGAGACAGACAGUUAGAGCUCUGCCCAAAUGCCCUAUUGCAGAGCCAGAGCAAUGUUAAAAGGCAGUGAGGACCUGUUCCCAAGCACUCAAAGAAGAACUCAGCAGCAUUUCCAUGCUGCUGUGCUGGCUUCAGGCUGAUGCCUGGUGUGAAUGGCAGCCCCUGGCAGUGUGCCUCUGAAUGAGGCUAUUGAGAGCCUCUGAGCUACAGUCUGCAUGGAAUUCCCUGGCUUCUGCUAUGCAAACACACAUGGGAAAACCAGAGCUGGAUACCCAGCUGUAAAGGCCA
rnacentral:lncRNA from 1 species